CAUUAGUGGCGGACGGGUGAGUAACACGCAAAUAAACUACCAUUCAGACGGGGACAACCUUGGGAAACCUGGGCUAAUACCCGAUACGAUCCUUUAGUGGCAUCACUUUAGGAUGAAACAGCUUGCUGGCUGAAUGAUGUAUUUGCGGCUGAUUAGUUUGUUGGUAGGGUAAUGGCCUACCAAGACUACGAUCAGUAGCUGGUCUGAGAGGAUGAACAGCCACACUGGAACUGAGACACGGUCCAGACUCC
rnacentral:rRNA from 1 species